GACGAACGCUGGCGGCGUGCUUAACACAUGCAAGUCGAACGGAAAGGCCCUGCUUUUGUGGGGUGCUCGAGUGGCGAACGGGUGAGUAACACGUGAGUAACCUGCCCUUGACUUUGGGAUAACUUCAGGAAACUGGGGCUAAUACCGGAUAGGAGCUCCUGCUGCAUGGUGGGGGUUGGAAAGUUUCGGCGGUUGGGGAUGGACUCGCGGCUUAUCAGCUUGUUGGUGGGGUAGUGGUUUACCAAGGCUUUGACGGGUAGCCGGCCUGAGAGGGUGACCGGCCACAUGGGGACUGCGGUACGGCCCAGACUCCUACGGGAGGCAGCAGUGGGGAAUAUUGCACAAUGGGCGGAAGUCUGAUGAAGCAACGUCGCGUGCGGGAUGACGGCCUUCGGGUUGUAAACCGCUUUCGCCUGUGACGAAGCGUGAGUGACGGUAAUGGGUAAAGAAGCACCGGCUAACUACGUG
rnacentral:rRNA from 1 species